AGUUUUGAGCUAAAUAUAUUUAUAAUAUUAGUUAUUUAUGAAGGUGUUGUAAAAUCUUUAUUUAAAAUUAUAUUUAGGGGUGAUAGGCCUUUCAAAAACUAAGAUAUCUUGAAUCUAAUUAAAAGUAUGUAGUACAAUUAACACAACUAUUAAGUGAUUAGGCUUUAUAGAAUUAUUAACUUAUAAGAUUUUACUUACUAUAAUUUAAUAAUUAAGUACAUAAAUAUAUUAAUAUUCAUAUAUUAUAGUUUAUAAAAGAGUAAUUAGAUAGAUUUAAGUUCAUAUUUCUUAUAAUAAUGUUAAUAUUAGUAUUAAGUUUAUAUUUAUAUGAUGAACUCGGCAAAAAUACUUCUCAACUGUUUAUCAAAAACAUAACUAUGUGAAUGAAUACAUAGCGGUUUCUGCUCAA
rnacentral:rRNA from 1 species